GGCCCCAUCGUCUAGUGGUUAGGACGCUAGGUUCUCAUCCUAGUAACACCGGUUCGACUCCGGUUGGGGCUA
rnacentral:tRNA from 1 species